GGUUGAGUCUUGACCAGAUAACCAGAAAAAGGCUUAUCUCCUUUUUGCAGGCCCAUACUGAUGUAUUCUCUUAGACACUAGCCAAUAUACCUAGCAUCGAUCCGGAGGUGAUGAUGCAUCGGCUAGGUGUCAAUCCGAAUUACAAGCCUAUUAAGUAGAAGAAAAGAAGCUUUGUACUUGAGUGACAAAAGGUGAUAGCUGAAGAAGUGGAUAAGCUACUGGAGGUAGGCUUCAUUUGGGAAGCUAACUACAUCAGCU
rnacentral:lncRNA from 1 species